AACUCCCAAACCCCUGUGAACAUACCAAUUGUUGCCUCGGCGGAUCAGCCCGCUCCCGGUAAAACGGGACGGCCCGCCAGAGGACCCCUAAACUCUGUUUCUAUAUGUAACUUCUGAGUAAAACCAUAAAUAAAUCAAAACUUUCAACAACGGAUCUCUUGGUUCUGGCAUCGAUGAAGAACGCAGCAAAAUGCGAUAAGUAAUGUGAAUUGCAGAAUUCAGUGAAUCAUCGAAUCUUUGAACGCACAUUGCGCCCGCCAGUAUUCUGGCGGGCAUGCCUGUUCGAGCGUCAUUUCAACCCUCAAGCCCAGCUUGGUGUUGGGACUCGCGAGUCAAAUCGCGUUCCCCAAAUUGAUUGGCGGUCACGUCGAGCUUCCAUAGCGUAGUAGUAAAACCCUCGUUACUGGUAAUCGUCGCGGCCACGCCGUUAAACCCCAACUUCUGAAUGUUGACCUCGGAUCAGGUAGGAAUACCCGCUGAACUUAAGCAUAUCAAUAAGCGGAGGAAAAGAAACCAACAGGGAUUGCCCUAGUAACGGCGAGUGAAGCGGCAACAGCUCAAAUUUGAAAUCUGGCUCUCGGGCCCGAGUUGUAAUUUGUAGAGGAUACUUUUGAUGCGGUGCCUUCCGAGUUCCCUGGAACGGGACGCCAUAGAGGGUGAGAGCCCCGUCUGGUUGGAUGCCAAAUCUCUGUAAAGUUCCUUCGACGAGUCGAGUAGUUUGGGAAUGCUGCUCUAAAUGGGAGGUAUAUGUCUUCUAAAGCUAAAUACCGGCCAGAGACCGAUAGCGCACAAGUAGAGUGAUCGAAAGAUGAAAAGCACUUUGAAAAGAGAGUUAAAAAGUACGUGAAAUUGUUGAAAGGGAAGCGUUUAUGACCAGACUUGGGCUUGGUUGAUCAUCUGGGGUUCUCCCCAGUGCACUCUUCCAGUCCAGGCCAGCAUCAGUUUUCGCCGGGGGAUAAAGACUUCGGGAAUGUGGCUCUCUUCGGGGAGUGUUAUAGCCCGUUGUGUAAUACCCUGGCGGGGACUGA
rnacentral:rRNA from 1 species